CAGCAGCCGCGGUAAUACGUAGGUGGCAAGCGUUGUCCGGAAUUAUUGGGCGUAAAGGGCUCGCAGGCGGUUUCUUAAGUCUGAUGUGAAAGCCCCCGGCUCAACCGGGGAGGGUCAUUGGAAACUGGGAAACUUGAGCGCAGAAGAGGAGAGUGGAAUUCCACGUGUAGCGGUGAAGUGCGUAGAGAUGUGGAGGAACACCAGUGGCGAAGGCGACUCUCUGGUCUGUAACUGACGCUGAGGAGCGAAAGCGUGGGGAGCGAACAGGAUUAGAUACCCCCGUAGUCCCUGUCUCUUAUAC
rnacentral:rRNA from 1 species